rnacentral:tRNA from 9 species
GCCAGAGUGGCGAAAUCGGUAGACGCGGCGGACUCAAAAUCCGUUGAGGUAGCCCCUCGUGUCGGUUCGAGUCCGACCUCUGGCA